CACUCCUACGGGAGGCAGCAGUGGGGAAUUUUGGACAAUGGGCGAAAGCCUGAUCCAGCAAUGCCGCGUGAGUGAAGAAGGCCUUCGGGUUGUAAAGCUCUUUUGUCAGGGAAGAAACGGUGAAAGCUAAUAUCUUUUGCUAAUGACGGUACCUGAAGAAUAAGCACCGGCUAACUACGUGCCAGCAGCCGCGGUAAUACGUAGGGUGCAAGCGUUAAUCGGAAUUACUGGGCGUAAAGCGUGCGCAGGCGGUUUUGUAAGUCUGAUGUGAAAUCCCCGGGCUCAACCUGGGAAUUGCAUUGGAGACUGCAAGGCUAGAAUCUGGCAGAGGGGGGUAGAAUUCCACGUGUAGCAGUGAAAUGCGUAGAUAUGUGGAGGAACACCGAUGGCGAAGGCAGCCCCCUGGGUCAAGAUUGACGCUCAUGCACGAAAGCGUGGGGAGCAAACAGGAUUAGAUACCCCGGUAGUCCCAU
rnacentral:rRNA from 1 species